rnacentral:rRNA from 1 species
ACGGAGGGUGCAAGCGUUAUUCGGAUUUAUUGGGCGUAAAGGGCGCGUAGGCGGCCUAUCAAGUCGGAUGUGAAAGCCCGCAGCUUAACUGCGGAAGUGCAUCCGAGACUGGCAGGCUUGAGUAUGGGAGAGGGAGACGGAAUUCCCGGUGUAGCGGUGAAAUGCGUAGAUAUGGGGAGGAACACCUGUGGCGAAAGCGGUUCCCUGGACCAGUACUGACGCUGAUGCGCGAAGGCGUGGGGAUCAAACAG